rnacentral:lncRNA from 1 species
CCAAAGUUUUCCUAGGUCUUCCUCUACUCCUUCGGCCCCGAACCUCUGUCCCGUAGUCACAUUUUCGAACCGGAGCGUCAGUAGGCCUUCUUUGCACAUGUCCAAACCACCGGGACCGAUUUUCUCUCAUAUUUUCUUCAAUUUUGGCUACUCCUACUUUACCUCGGAUAUCCUAAUUCCCAAUCUUAUCCUUUCUCGUGUGCCCAUACAUCCCACGAAGCAUCCUCAUCUCCGCUACACCCAUUUUGUGUACGUUGAUGCUUCACCGCCCAACAUUCUGUGCCAUACAACAUCGCUGGCCUUAUUGCCGUCCUAUAAAAUUUUCCCUUGAGCUUCAGUGGCCUACGACGGUCACACAACACGCCGGAUGCACUCUUACACUUCAUCCAUCCAGCUUGUAUUCUAUGGUUGAGAUCUCCAUCUAAUUCUCCGUUCUCUUGCAAGAUAGAUCCUAGGUAGCGAAAACGGUCACUUUUUGUGAUCUUCGCUAGAUUGCUCCGGUCAUUAGUGUGGAUAAGUAUAUAAAUUGAUAGAGAUAGAAAAGCAAACACAAGAUGUACGUGGUUCACCCAGAUUGGCUACGUCCACGGAAUAGAGGAGUUCUCAUUAAUUGUGAAGGGUUUACACAAGUACAUAGGUUCAAGCUCUCCUUUAGUGAGUACAAGUGAAUGAUUUAAUACAAAUGACAUUAGGAAAAAUUGUGGGAGAAUGAUCUCGUAGCCACGAAACUUCUAAGUACCGGAGUGUGGUAUCGUCUUGACUUGCCUUAUCUGUCUCAUAGGUAGAUGUGACAUCUUCUCUGGAAGUACUCUUCCUCCAUCCAGGGUAGUAUCUGUAACUGGUGGAGAUGCACAAGGUAAUGUAUCAAUUUCACUUGAAGCUUACUUGUAGUUUCAUGCUUGGUCAAGCGAGACACAAACCAUGUAGUAGGAGUCCCCCAAGUCGCCGAGCGGGGAUCUGCUAAAAGAGGUGACAGACAAGGUAAGCAAUCAGAGCUCCGGCUGAUUGUUCACAUUCUCCCUAUCUUGCAGGCAGCAUGAAGGAUAAAGAGAAGAAAAAUGAGGAGAGAUGAUAUGGGAUACUUUUGCUUUUGAAGAAGUAACUUUCCACAGGCUUAUUCUUGAACUGGGCUGGAGGGUUUUCUAGUUUCCUCCAGAGUAUAAGGCCGACUGAAGAAUUUGAGGGUCAAAACAAGUCCAUCAAAUCUAGAGUACGUUCGACCCUGCUGAUAUGGGAUACUUUUGCUUUUGAUAGAGUAGUGGAUGUAUCGGCACGUGUGCUGUUACACUUGUCUCCACAUGCUUCCUUGUAUCCUUCUCACUUGCCUUAUCUGUUCCUCAGGCAGAUGCGGUAUCUUCCCUGGAAGCAUAAGAUGUUGAAGAUGAGUACUCGAGAGCAAUGCCAGGUAAGUAAUCAGGUAAGGGGUUCCAGGCAGUCAGUUCCUGGCUGGAAGCUUGAUUCCAAGUGCUGACUGAUUGCUCUCUUUCUCCUUGUCUUGCAGGUAAGAACAAGGCCAAAGGGAAAGACAGGGAAAAAGCAUGAUAUGGGAUACUCUUGCUUUUAACCCUGAUGAUAUGAGAUAUUCUUGCUCUAGUAUAGCUUGUUUACAGAGGUAUUAUCGGGGGGAAAAAAAGCUGAAUAUUUCGAAAGGCUUUGUUGGGAGUGCCCUCUCAGAUAAGAGAAAGGGUUGAGCAUUUUUGCGGGUCUGCCUGUCCGUUAGGGAUGGAAGUCGACAUAUAUAGGAGUCUCCCUAACAUCAAGUAAUAAUGCUAUUCCUUUACCCUGCUUGGUUAUAGCACGGUAGUGGGAGCUGCCAGCUUCACAUGUUUUAACUCUGUCAGAGCACUUUGAAAAAGUGGUUUGUGGUAUCUGGAAAGCUGAUGUUGCGUGUGAAGAUUACAGACCUGUCGGGGGUCUGGCUCUCGAGAUUCGGAAAACGAUGCCUCUUCGAUUUUUGAGAAAGCAAUCCUGCUGGGGGUCUGGCUCUCGAGAUUCGGAGAGUGGUGUCUCUUCGAUUUUUGAGAAAGUAAUCAUGUUGGGAGUCUGUCUCUCGAGAUUCGGAGGACGGUGCCUCUUCGAUUUUGGAGCAAGCAAUCUUGUUGGGAGUGUUUUUUCUCGAAUGAGAGUAAAGGUUGGGCAUGUUUGCUAGUCUACCUUGCCACGAAGCACAGAGGUUGACACACAGGGACUUUCCAAUUAUCCAGCAGUGGUACUGUUCCUUUACCCUAUCUUCGAUUUUUGAGAAAGUAAUCAUGUUGGGAGUCUGGCUCUCGAGAUUCGGAGGGCGGUGCCUCUUCGAUUUUGGAGCAAGCAAUCUUGUUAGGAGUGUUUUCUCGAAUGUGAGUAAAGGUUGGGCAUGUUUGCUAGUCUACCUUGCCACGAAGCACAGAGGUUGACACACCGGGACUUUCCAAUUAUCCAGCAGUGGUACUGUUCCUUUACCCUUGUGGGUAAUAAUAUGGUAGCUAGACCUUCAAAAUUUAUGUGUCUAAACUUUGUUAGUGUUGUUUCUUUGCAAUUCUUUUACCCUUCUUGGUCAGAGCGGUGUAGUGGGAGCUGCAAGCUUCACGUGUCUCAACUUUGUCAGAGAACUUUGGCAAAGUUAUCUGUGGUACCCAUGAGCUACUGUUGCGUGUGGGAAGUGGGUGAUUGAACAGUACGAUUCAUGUGCUUUCUACUUCGCCAGAAAUCUUCGACAGAAUGCCCAUAAUUUCCGCAAAGCUGAGUGUGCGUGUGACAGGUGCUGACAAGGCUGGAAAAGUAGGUGCCUCUUCGAUUUCUGAAAAUCGGCCCUCGUGGUCUCUGAGCAGCCCAGCUUUUGAGAAAGCAAGCCUCUUCGAUUUCUGAGAUCGGCCUUUGUGGUCUUUGAGCAGCCCAGCUUUUGAGAAUCUCUGAGCAGCCCAGCUUUUGAGAAAGCAAACGCCUCUUCGAUUUCUGAGCAGGCGCCUCUUCGAUUUCUGAAGCUUCAUCGAGUGCAGAUUUUUUAUAGGGGCUGACAUUAAGUUCCAAAGCACACUUGAAUAUCCACCAGUAGAAGCUCCAUUCUUGCACUUCUAAGAUCUUGAUUUGUCCGACCUCUUUAUCUCUUCAACACCUUUGAAAAUGUCUGGCCCCUCCGACCGUCGUUUUGACUUGAACCUUGUUGAAGAGGCAGCCCCGCCUUCUCCAGACAACAUAUGGCGCCCAUCCUUCGUCUCCCCUACUGGUCCUCUUACCGUUGGGGAUUCCGUGAUGAAGAAUGAUAUGACCGCUGCGGUAGUGGCCAGGAACCUUCUCACUCCCAAAGAUAACAGACUACUUUCCAAACGGUCUGAUGAGUUGUCUGUUAAGGAUUCUCUGGCUCUCAGUGUUCAGUGUGCAGGUUCUGUGUCUAAUAUGGCCCAACGCCUAUUUGCUCGAACCCGCCAAGUUGAAUCAUUGGCGGCUGAAGUGAUGAGUCUCAAACAGGAGAUUAGAGGGCUCAAGCAUGAGAAUAAACAGUUGCACCGGCUCGCACAUGACUAUGCUACAAACAUGAAGAGGAAGCUUGACCAGAUGAAGGAAUCUGAUGGUCAGGCUUUUACUUGAUCAUCAGAGAUUUGUGGGUUUGUUCCAAAGGCAUUUAUUGCCUUCGUCUUCUGGGGCUGUACCGCGUAAUGAAGCUCCAAAUGAUCAAUCUCUGAUGCCUCCUCCUUCUAGGGUUUUGUCCAAUACUGAGGCUCCGAAUGAUCCCCCUCCGGUGCCUUCUCUUUCUGGGGCUCUACCGACUGCUGAGACUUCUCCUAAGCAACCUUUGUGAAGGCUCCCUCUUGUUUGUUUAUUUUGACUCAAGUAUAUGUACAUAUUUGUAACUUAUCGGGGAUAUCAAUAAAUAAGCUUUCAUUUCAACGUAUUGUGUUAAAUACACCAAAGCCUUCUUCGCUAAGUUCUUUGAAUUUUCUUUUGUUGAAGCUUGUAUGUUGAAGCUUUGUGAGUGGAGCAUAUAGGUUGAGGUAGUGUUCCCUUAAUUUCCCGAGUGAGGAAAACUUCUCGGUUGGAGACUUGGAAAAUCCAAGUCACUGAGUGGGAUCGGCUAUAUGAAUCUUAGAACGCCAUUGUGUUCUGUCCUGUGUCAUGUCCUCCGUUAGAUCCAAGUACUCUAAGUCUUUUCUUAGGGUCUCUUCCAAAGUUUUCCUAGGUCUUCCUCUGCCCCUUCGGCCCUGAACCUCUGUCCCAUAGUCGCAUCUUCUAAUCGGAGCGUCAGUAGGCCUUCCUUGCACAUGUCCAAACCACCGUAACCGAUUUUCUCUCAUCUUUCCUUCAAUUUCGGCUACUCCUACUUUACCCCGGAUAUCCUCAUUCCUAAUCUUAUCCUUUCUCGUGUGCCCACACAUCCAACGAAGCAUCCUCAUCUCCG